rnacentral:rRNA from 1 species
GAUGAACGCUAGCGGCAGGCCUAAUACAUGCAAGUCGAACGGUGUCUCCGGACAUAGUGGCGCACGGGUGCGUAACACGUAUGCAACCUACCUUACAUUGGGGGAUAGCCUUUCGAAAGGGAGAUUAAUACCGCAUAAGACAGUAGCCGGGCAUCCAGCAGCUGUUAAAGUUUUAUCGAUGUAAGCUGGGCAUGCGUCCAAUUAGCUAGUUGGUGAGGUAACGGCUCACCAAGGCAAUGAUUGGUAGGGGAACUGAGAGGUCAAUCCCCCACACUGGCACUGAGAUACGGGCCAGACUCCUACGGGAGGCAGCAGUAGGGAAUAUUGGGCAAUGGACGCAAGUCUGACCCAGCCAUGCCGCGUGCAGGAUGAAGGCGUUAUGCGUUGUAAACUGCUUUUAUACAGGAAGAAACGACUCUUGCGAGAGGCAUUGACGGUACUGUAUGAAUAAGCACCGGCUAACUCCGUGCCAGCCGCCGCCGUAACAC